CUCUUGGUGGCUGAAAUAUUUAAGUGCUUGGCUGCUAACCAAAAGAUGGGUGGUUCUAGUCCACCCAGAGU
rfam:Loxodonta africana unplaced genomic scaffold scaffold_116, whole genome shotgun sequence.